rnacentral:misc_RNA from 1 species
AAGACUAUAGACCUGCGGAGUACCUGCGGAAGGAUCAUUAACGUAUCUAUGAUGGGGUGCGGAGCGCCCUGCUCCGGUCGAACGGCCGUGCAGCGGGUGCGCCGCCCCCGUCCCACCUCACAAACCCACUGUGAACAUUCACCGGUGGAGGGGGCUCGGUCUGCGCCGUGUCCCCGAUGCCGUAUACCCAAACUCCAGUUGCAAAGAACGUCGUGCGGACUCGGUGCCGCCUAAAACAUG